rnacentral:rRNA from 1 species
ACAAUAACUGUACUAAGGUAGCAUAAUCAUUAGAUUUCUAAUUAAAAUCUUGUAUGAAAGGUUGAAUGAAAUAUAAACUGUCUCAAAUAAAUUUAUUAAAUUUAUUUUUUAAGUAAAAAAACUUAAAUAAAAUUAAAAGACAAGAAGACCCUAUAGAAUUUUACAUUAAAUUUAUUAUUUAAAAUAAAUAAAAUACUAUUUAAUUAAAUUUAAUAUUUAAUUGGGGCAAUUUUUAAAUUUAAUAAACUUUAAAAUACUACUAACAAUUAUAAUUGAACUAAUUUAUAUUCUUAUAAUAUAAUAUAAUAAAAUUAAUUACCUUAGGGAUAACAGCAUAAUUUUUUUUUUUAGACCUAAUAACUAAAAAAGAUUAUGACCUC